UGUAAAGUUGCUAUCUUUCUCUGGUAC
rnacentral:piRNA from 1 species